rnacentral:rRNA from 1 species
AGAGCGAACGCUGGCGGCAGGCUUAACACAUGCAAGUCGAGCGGGCGGUAGCAAUACGUCAGCGGCAGACGGGUGAGUAACGCGUGGGAACGUACCUUUUGGUUCGGAACAACCCAGGGAAACUUGGGCUAAUACCGGAUAAGCCCUUACGGGGAAAGAUUUAUCGCCGAAAGAUCGGCCCGCGUCUGAUUAGCUAGUUGGUGAGGUAAUGGCUCACCAAGGCGACGAUCAGUAGCUGGUCUGAGAGGAUGAUCAGCCACAUUGGGACUGAGACACGGCCCAAACUCCUACGGGAGGCAGCAGUGGGGAAUAUUGGACAAUGGGCGCAAGCCUGAUCCAGCCAUGCCGCGUGAGUGAUGAAGGCCCUAGGGUUGUAAAGCUCUUUUGUGCGGGAAGAUAAUGACGGUACCGCAAGAAUAAGCCCCGGCUAACUUCGUGCCAGCAGCCGC